rnacentral:ncRNA from 1 species
GUGUAGUAUGAAAGGAGAGACGUUUAGCACUCCCCUAGACAAGGACGGAAUAACACAUAUAAUGGUAAGAGCACAGUCGCCUCUGGCGGCGCUUACCACCAUUUUUUU